rnacentral:siRNA from 1 species
UCUGUGAUGCCCUUAGAUGUU